UACGUAGGGGGCAAGCGUUGUCCGGAUUUAUUGGGCGUAAAGAGCGUGUAGGCGGCCAUACAGGUCAGCUGUGAAAACUCGAGGCUCAACCUCGAGACGUCGGUUGAAACCGUAUGGCUAGAGUCCGGAAGAGGAGAGUGGAAUUCCUGGUGUAGCGGUGAAAUGCGCAGAUAUCAGGAAGAACACCUAUGGCGAAGGCAGCUCUCUGGGACGGUACUGACACUGAGACGCGAAAGCGUGGGGAGCGAACAGG
rnacentral:rRNA from 1 species